AGAACGAAUAUGCCAUUUUCUCUGGAUGAACUGCAAUCCAGACAUUUUAAGGUUUCUUAAAAAUUGAGGAUAACUCCGUUUCAAAGUACUGCCGCAUCGUUGUGUUUCUUGCGGCUCUAAAUCACUUUCUGAGUGUGAACAAGGCUGGCCGCACAGUCUCCAGCGGUCAAAAGAGCACCCCCGUUCCAUCACCCCGUGGUGCUGUUGCUGCUUCCUGCCAGUUCUCUACAAAAACCCAGAGUGAAGACAAGUGUCAGCUCUUACCUAAAAGCACACGCACAAGACGGGCAGGUCAGUGGAAUCCUCGCGGGGAUCCUCUCCACAUGGGGCUGAGACACCUGGUCCUUAGAGACUUCGUGUAUAGGACAGUUGAUCUUCGUCGAGGCAGGAGACUUAGCUCCGCCUUCUGUUUUGAAGACAUAGGAUAUAUUUUCUGAACCUGAAUACCCAGUUCAAUAGAGAGCUUGUAGUUACCCAGGUGACGGCUGGAUUCUCCUGAUAAGGCCAUUGCUUUCUUUCUGUGUGGCCAUGGCCUACGGGCUUCCAUACAGCCCACAUGUCCCUGCCCUGUGCCCCAGAUUCCCUCCUCAAGCAGCAAAAACAAACUUCCCUGCAUUCCAAGCAAAAUGGAAAGAAACGGAAGACUUCGAAAAGACUUUGAAUUGCUUAUUAGAAGUCUGAACUCU